GACGGAGGAUGCAAGCGUUAUCCGGAAUGAUUGGGCGUAAAGCGUCCGCAGGUGGCAGUUCAAGUCUGCUGUCAAAGAGCGGGGCUUAACUUCGGAAAGGCAGUGGAAACUGAACAGCUAGAGUAUGGUAGGGGCAGAGGGAAUUCCUGGUGUAGCGGUGAAAUGCGUAGAUAUCAGGAAGAACAUCGGUGGCGAAGGCGCUCUGCUGGACCAUAACUGACACUCAGGGACGAAAGCUAGGGGAGCGAAUGGG
rnacentral:rRNA from 1 species